CUACGGGGUGCAGCAGUGGGGAAUCUUAGACAAUGGGGGCAACCCUGAUCUAGCCAUGCCGCGUGAGUGAUGAAGGCCUUAGGGUCGUAAAGCUCUUUCGCCUGUGAUGAUAAUGACAGUAGCAGGUAAAGAAACCCCGGCUAACUCCGUGCCAGCAGCCGCGGUAAUACGGAGGGGGUUAGCGUUGUUCGGAAUUACUGGGCGUAAAGCGCGCGUAGGCGGAUUAGAAAGUUGGGGGUGAAAUCCCGGGGCUCAACCUCGGAACUGCCUCCAAAACUGCUAGUCUAGAGUUCGAGAGAGGUGAGUGGAAUUCCGAGUGUAGAGGUGAAAUUCGUAGAUAUUCGGAGGAACACCAGUGGCGAAGGCGGCUCACUGGCUCGAUACUGACGCUGAGGUGCGAAAGUGUGGGGAGCAAACAGGAUUAGAUACCCUAGUAGUC
rnacentral:rRNA from 1 species